CGACCUGCAAUCGAAACGAGAAACCCUUUGUCGCUGUAGUCUCGAUCGACGAAGGGGAAUACUUGUUUACUCGUUGAAAGAGAGAUAAAUCGACUGUUGGACCGAGAUCGAACGCGAUCGACUGUCGUCGAAAUUGUGCAGAUUCGUUUAUUGGGUUGGCAACAGAGUAGCUGCGUAUCUUUCCUCGCUUGAAAAGGGAGAUCGACUUGAAAAUGUAAAAUCGAACGACCAACAUUUCGCAAGCUCGUGGAAAAUCGAUGCAACGUGUUUUGGCGAACGAGAUUUGGCUUUCAAACUGUUUCAAACAAUGUCCAAAGAAUUUCCACUACCGACGACGUCGGAUAUCGAAUUAAGAAAGAUAAUUAUCAAACUGAGAAAGGCCGAAAAACUUUGAAGUUGACUGAAAAAGAAACGAAAA